CUAAGAAGCAGUACAAGAAGAAGUCUGUGCUGUGAGGAGCUGCCCCAAGAAAUAUCACUGAGAAGGCCUUGCCCUGAUAAGCCCCGGUUGUUUUUGAUGGGCUGCAGCUGUGGCUAAUGAAGAUAAGAGGGAUAAAAGGGGGUAGGUUGGCUGGUCAGGGAGAGCCUUGGAAGAGCCCCGACGAAGAAGCAGCAACAAGAAGAAGUCUGUGCUGUGAAGAACUGCCCCCAAGAAAUAUCGCCAAGAAGGAUCCUUCUGGACAAAAUGUCCAGAACACAGCCACAUAAACACAUCAUGGAUAGGUGAUGGGUCAGGUACAAAUGGU